rnacentral:RNase_P_RNA from 1 species
GAGGAAAGUCCGGACACUAGGGGACAAUCGGACCGAGUAACACUUGGGCUUUCGGGAUCCAGAAAUGGGCCUUGAGGGACGGAAAGUGCAACAGAAAGAAAACCGCCUACUUUGGUAGGUAAGGGUGAAAUGGUGGGGUAAGAGCCCACCGCUCUAUUUGUGAAAAUAGGGGCAUGGUAAACCCUCCGAUGUGCAAUCUCAAGUAAACAACCGCUACGAGCUUGUCCCGCCAGGUUGUGGGUAGAGAGCAUUAGAUAAAUGAUCGCAUAGAACAGAAUCCGGCUUA